rnacentral:rRNA from 1 species
GACGGGGGAUGCAAGCGUUAUCCGGAAUCACUGGGCGUAAAGCGUCUGUAGGUGGUGAUGCAAGUCACUGGUGCAAAACUCUGGCUCAACCGGAGGAAAGCCAGUGAAACUGCAUGACUAGAGUGUGGGAGAGGUAGAAGGAAUUCCCUGAGUAGCGGUGAAAUGCGUAGAUACAGGGAAGAACACCGGAGGCGAAAGCGUUCUACUGGAACACAACUGACGCUGAGAGAAGAAAGCUAGGUGAGCGAAUGGG